UACGUAGGGCGCAAGCGUUGUCCGGAAUCAUUGGGCGUAAAGAGCGUGUAGGCGGCUCGGUAAGUCCGCUGUGAAAGUCCAGGGCUCAACCCUGGAAUGCCGGUGGAAACUGUCGAGCUAGAGUCCGGAAGAGGCGAGUGGAAUUCCUGGUGUAGCGGUGAAAUGCGCAGAUAUCAGGAGGAACACCAAUGGCGAAGGCAGCACUCUGGGACGUGACUGACGCUGAGACGCGAAAGCGUGGGGAGCAAACAGG
rnacentral:rRNA from 1 species